CCAUCCUUGCUUUUCUCCUGGAGUGAAAGUGCAUGAGCUUUUGUUCUUAACAGACAACUACAAGGUGCUGUAAAUUAGGUUUCCACAAUGGUAUAAAUUGUGUUUAUCUCACUGUAAUUUCCCUGUGUACCCACACCUCUUGCAGAAUUUCAUACCUGGAUGGAUCCACCAGACUACACAGGGGACAUGAAGGGAAAAGCUAUGCAUGAUUCAUGGUACAGGACUUUUAUCCUCAGGGUUGGCUCAUUUAAUCUCUUCCCAUCGGUUUACUUGGCGCAAGUAGCCUAUUGUGCAGUAAGCCAAGCCAGCACUAGUUUCAAACUACAUGAGAUCUGGGAUACUUAGAAUCAGGAACCACAGGUUUAAAUCAUAUAUCUCAACUUAAGACAACGUGCAGCAAGUCAAAAUUUGUGCUUCUGAGCAGAAAGGUAAUGCAACACAUAGCCCCAGAAAUGUGCAAAACCAGAGCCAAGCAACAGUGGGAGCUAAACCAGACAUUGCCUUUGCCAGCUGAGGAAGAUGCCUUUUCUGGGCAGCACUGCGGAGAUGUUGGGUGCUGCCUGUCUCAUCUGCUGGGGAAGGAAGGGACCUCUGUUGAGGGGUGGCCAGUCCCCUCAAGAGUCUUAACUCUCCUCCAGGGAUGGCUCAGGGAUGAUGCCCUCCUGAAGCCUUUGAAAACUCAGGAGGUCUCACUUCUAACUCUUUAAAUAGUUUAAUUCCUACUGGCACAACCCAUUGCCACUCAUUACAAACAUGUUUUAUUAUGUAUUGUGUUACAGACAAGAACUAACUUCAGGAACUGGUGGUUACCUCCUUGUGUUUGUGUGUUGGCAUUUGGAUGUCUAGAGACUGAAGCUCACCUUCCUGGCGUGCUCUAUUUCUCAUGCUUCUGUCUGAGGAAAAUACCUUUAUUUUAGCUGUAUCUGGAAACAGCUGUAUCUGUUCGGUUUGCAGAUAUCAUACAGAGACAGAAUCUGCUUGGACUGCGAAACAUAAGCCUUUAAAGCACACAUACCAAGCACUUAAGGCAGUUAUAGUGUCCUUGUUUCCUGGGAAGCAGGGCUCUACUCAUUAGGUGCAAGUCACCUAGACUGAAAAGCCACUGGUCAUUCCCUCAGGUCAUCAGCUCCAAUUACCUUAGCAGAAUAGUAUCACCCAUAACAACCUAAGUAAAUCAGGAAGUCACCGAACAAGGGAAGUAAUUACAGCUUCUUUCAGUACUGAAAAAGCAACCUGUUCUUUUACAACCCAUCAAAACCAUGUGUUUGCCUUUAGUGGUUAAAAUAAAGGGUGUGCAAUUUGGGAAUAAUCCAGCUAUGAAGUUUCCUUAGUAAUUGGCAAGUCCUGAAAGGUUUUUCACUCCUGCAAUUUAAAGGUGGUGAGCAUGAGAUUAAUUUAAUUUUCUUUUAGAUUAGCCUUUAAGGGACACUGCAGCACCAAAGAAUGACAUUUUCGAACAGUGAACCCACAUCUCAUCCGUUUGACAUGAAGAUAUUUUGUCAACUGCCUUUAAAUUUCAUUUAUGAUGUGAUUGACUCAUGCUGUAAACCAGAAUGUCAGUCACCAGCUCUAGCAAACAUGGAGAAUUUGAAUUAUAUUUACCAUUUUCUAGCAUGUUACUCAGUGUUAGCAUUAUCAGUUUACACAACUCUUGUUUUCCAGUCUUCAGCACACCCGUUCACUUGAUUCAGAUUCAACUGGUUCAGGGUAAAAAAAAGUAUUUGUAAUAAAUCUACAUGUGAUUUUAUAAAGAACUUCGCAGAUGUUCAGGGUGCAGGCACGUGUCACUGGUUUAAUGGAGGGAGCUUCUGUAAAUCUGAGCAUGAAACGUCUAUUCUUGAUUGAACUGAAGGUCUGACUGCACGUGGUACUUAGUGGUGAGCUUAGGCUGAGCCCAUGACUAGUGUGGCUGAAGGCAGUGGGAUGACUCAAACUGCUUCAGAUGAUGUGCAUCCCUGCCCCAGGGCCAGGAUACAGGACUCUUGGUGCUGGGAGAAUGUUUGUCACCUAAAUUGCAGAUCAUUCACUCUUUUCUUGGAAGAUGCUUAAAAAAGAAUACGAAGAAAUACAUUAGGAUACUGCUGGAUUUUAAUUUAAAAAUCCAGUAAUUGGGUUAUCAUGUUCUGCAUUCAGAAUUUGUGUGUCAAAUUUUCAAUGUCCUUUAUAUCAUAGAAUUACUUGACGAAGGUGGCCUGUCUUUUCCUGGUUAAUGUAUUGUCUACACAUCCCUGCCUGUUUCUCAGGUGUGUUUGUUGCUGAUGGAGCAAAUGGCCAUGUCUCCAGUGGGCUGUGACCAAGCAGUGAACCACGAAGACACGGUCCCAAGAUGAGGCACUUGGUGUUUCUGAGGAUGAACUGAAACCUAAGUAAGUGCCUCCGUGCUUAGCCCUCUGUGAGGGCUAGACCUGCACCCUCCCAACAAAUCAUCCUUCAGUUUCCUGUAUGCCAGCAGGUUCCUGUUGCUAGAAAAUUUGCAAUAGUUUUGUGUAUUCCAGUUGCUGUUAAAAUGCUUUGAGUUUUGUCCACUAAAUUGGGCACAAGGAUCCUGCUGAACUAAGAGCAAGGGCAGCGUCUGCUCGGAGCAGCAAUACUGGCUGCUGAUGAAACUUCAGAGAGAAAAGGAAAGUGAUAGCCCCGUUCUUUGCCAGGCCAUUUCCAAAGGCUCUGCAGUCCUCUGUGCUCCCCACACACUUCACUCUGCCGGGGUUUUCCCAGACCCACUGUAUGUUCACUGUGGGUGAACUGAUUCAUCCUCUCCAUUGCUGAGCCACCUAAACGUUUCCAAAGGAAGGCAAGAAACCAGGUCAGCAGAGUGAAAGUAACCAAGGGAAAAAACACAUAUUUUUGUACUGGGAGAAAUGUCAGAAAAAAAAUGAAUUAAAAAAGAAAACAUCCACAGAGUGGAUUUGAAAACCUCCAUCUGAGAGCUGCAGGGUGUUCGAUGCCUGACAUCCCAACGGCUCGAUGGCAAAAGCAAAGCUAGUGGUACAGGCUCUGAAAAUCCCACUUCUGAGCUAUUCUGGGUUUACUCAAAGAGCUGCUAAAAUACAGCUGUGCUCUAAUUCCAUCUGUCCAUUGAGCUACGUGGGAGCAGUGUCCCUUGAGACAGAAGCUAAGGUGUCAUGGAAGAGGUGUCCAAAUAUUCUCUCCCUGAAUGGAGGCCGUCACUCCAGCCCUGCAUCCCUAGGCUGGUCUGCAGGACUCUCUGGGGAGUAUCUGGGGGUUUGCAUAGACCAACCUGACCAGCAGAAACCUCUUGAACUGAUGAGAGUUUCCUUUCUGUUGCAUCAUGUUAGCUCAGAGCUUUGACCCUUCCCCUGUUCCUUUCCAGGUUUUGUUUUUCAGGGUAGCUGUCCACAGGGUUGGUGAUGUGUGGCUCACAGUGGUUCCUGAUCAAAAAAUGUGGACAUUCAAGCCAAAAGAGUUUCAGACUGAACUCCACAAGCGUUUAUUGGCUCCUUUAGGACUGUGCUACAGCCUGCAGCGAAUACCCACGAGCACUGCUGAUCCUGCCACCAGCAUCCUGUCCAGCUGGGGUGAUCGCAGCCACGGCAAACAAACUGCACGCAGAUUCCUUUCACUCUCAUUUUUGCAGCUCAGGCCAACUGGGAAUGUAAAACCACACCGACCAAGGGAGGGCAGGGAAAUUGCCAGUGAAUGCAGAAAGAAGAAAAGGAAGGAAAAUGUGGAAAGCAGGAGUUUAUAGAGUGUUUCUGAAGACCUUCUCCCAGGCUAAAAUGAGGAUCAGUUCCAGGUUUGCAGUCAUAUCAACAGUAGGAUAGUGAUUUAUUCCUGAGGUUCUGUCAUCUAUACCAGCAUACUGUCUGCAUGAGGCAGUGUUUGGCAAGUGGUGCGGAGCUUACAGCCCCAAAAAGCCACUCCUGAAGGUUUGGUUAUCUGCAGCCAACAUGUGCUGAUACUGGGAAACGUUUGGAGCAGAGGUUACAUUUUGAAAUUAUGAAGUGCUGGCUUUGGUACCGAGUUUAAGGGCAGGAACAAAGCACAUGGCAGCUCUGGAAUGGAAUGAAUUCUGGUGUGGAUACAAACCACUUAAUUCACUUACCUGCAGGAGAAAAGUUCGUCUUUCCAAUUCAGUGCUCCUGAGUAUUCUGAAACUCUCCAACUGGCAGGAAAAUCACAUGGAAGAAAUGGACAGAAUCAGGUUUGCUGGUUGAAUGGAGCUCCCAGGAAAUCUCGUACAAUUGAGCUGACUUCAGCAGACCUGCCCAAGAGAGCAGAACUGGGCUGUUUGCAUCUGCUGUGUGAUGUUCUUGGAGUCCCCCAGAUGAGAGGUGCUAUGGAGACUUUAAAAGGUUGCUACCACGCACCAGUGGCUACAAAGCAUUAGUUACGGGCUUGGCUGGCCUGUUUUGGGGGACACUGCAUGGCUUUUGGGAGUCUGAUGCUGGCAAAACGCACUGGAUUGAGGAGUGAUGCUUCUGCUCUUCCCAAUCCCCUGUAAAAAUCUUCCCAGCAAAGAAUGGGCCAUAAAUGUGUCAGAAAGUCAGUCCAAGUGAAGAGAUUACCAUGGGUAAUCGCAAAGCAUGAUUUCAUUAGAGGAUUUCUUUACACAUGGGCAUGGACAUAAGAGUAACCCGAGCCACGGGAACCGUGUGUUUCUGAAGUAGGGCACAGUGGCAGGAGUGUUAUUAAUAUUCUGGA